rnacentral:tRNA from 1 species
AGAAAUAAUUUAAUAUUUAAACUUCUAAUUUAAAUUCUAAGUGAUUACUCAUUUAUAUUUCUU